CAGCAGCCGCGGGAAUACGGAGGGGGCUAGCGUUGUUCGGAAUUACUGGGCGUAAAGCGCACGUAGGCGGCUUGGUAAGUUAGAGGUGAAAGCCUGGAGCUCAACUCCAGAAUUGCCUUUAAGACUGCCGAGCUAGCAGGUGAGAGAGGUAAGUGGAAUUCCGAGUGUAGAGGUGAAAUUCGUAGAUAUUCGGAAGAACACCAGUGGCGAAGGCGGCUUACUGGCUCAUACUGGACGCUGAGGUGCGAAAGCGUGGGGAGCAAACAGGACUAGAUACCCCUGUAGUCCCUGUCUCUUAUAC
rnacentral:rRNA from 1 species